CAUGGGACAAGAAGUCAACACAUUUUGGUGGCUUAUUGAAGGUGGAAAUUAAAGUUUGACUUGUUGAAACAUGACUCAUGGCCAAGAGGUUUCCUUAGGCCAUUUGGACUUUUAAUUUAUUUGUUAAUUGCAUAUUGGGUCACUUAAUUUACUAAAAGUAAAAUAGGCUUGUUAAUUUCUCUUGUUUUCACUUAGUUUAAUUAGUAGGUUGAGUUGUCUUCAUGUGUUUGAGUUAGUGUUGAGUUUAAUUAAUUUUUACUGUGUUUGUUAAUUUGUUUGCAAGAGUAUUUGAUGUUUGAAUGUUGUCUAAGGUUUUUAAUAGGGUUAUUUUAAUUACCAUGCUAGCUUUAAUUAGUUUGUUUGCAUCUAUGUCUUUAUAUUGAGUUAGUUAAAUUUUGCAACACACUUUCAAACCACCCCCCUCCCACUUCGUGUUUGACUUGAGACUCGAACCACAGUUUGGUCCUUGAGAGACGACCUAGGAGUCACUUCCUAGCACUAUACUGCAUUCUUAAUAUGUAAUUAAAUUUGUAUGGGCCGCGACACCCAUCAAUAAGCUUAGUAAAUGUGCAUUCACAUAUCAAAAUCAACACAAAACAUGUUAAAUAAGAAAUCAUUCAAUAAAGAACAGGACAUGUAACACAUUACAAUACAUGUGUUAUUAAUAAUGUGUUGACAUCAUCAAAAACCAUAUUGAUUAAAGCAUUGUGAGAUUAAGGUUAGCUAAAUCAGUGCUUCCCUUAUCAACAAUCUCAACAUUCCUCUCCCUUCUCUCUAAAUAUUCCUCACUUGUGUUUCAUUUAAUUGAAGAUCAAGAGCUCCCUAGGGUAUCCUGACUUCAAGAGCUUUCAUUCCCAUCGAUCAAAGUCUUGUUUAAAGCUGGUAAGUCUCGAUUUCUUGAGUUCAUGUCAGAUUUCGAAACUUGUUGACACAUGCAAGCCAAGUUUCUGGUUGCAUGUGUUCAUCAGCUUUCUCUUCCAAUUUCUGAUCACAUUUCUGG
rnacentral:lncRNA from 1 species